UACGGAGGGUGCAAGCGUUAUCCGGAUUCACUGGGUUUAAAGGGUGCGUAGGCGGGUUGGUAAGUCCGUGGUGAAAUCUCCGAGCUUAACUCGGAAACUGCCAUGGAUACUAUCAAUCUUGAAUAUCGUGGAGGUAAGCGGAAUAUGUCAUGUAGCGGUGAAAUGCUUAGAUAUGACAUAGAACACCAAUUGCGUAGGCAGCUUACUACACGAUCAUUGACGCUGAGGCACGAAAGCGUGGGGAGCAAACAGG
rnacentral:rRNA from 1 species